CCUACGGGAGGCAGCAGUGAGGAAUAUUGGUCAAUGGGCGUAAGCCUGAACCAGCCAAGUCGCGUGAGGGAUGAAGGUUCUAUGGAUUGUAAACCUCUUUUAUAAGGGAAUAAAGUGCGGGACGUGUCCCGUUUUGUAUGUACCUUAUGAAUAAGGAUCGGCUAACUCCGUGCCAGCAGCCGCGGUAAUACGGAGGAUCCGAGCGUUAUCCGGAUUUAUUGGGUUUAAAGGGUGCGUAGGCGGCCUUUUAAGUCAGCGGUGAAAGUCUGUGGCUCAACCAUAGAAUUGCCGUUGAAACUGGGAGGCUUGAGUAUGUUAGAGGCAGGCGGAAUGCGUGGUGUAGCGGUGAAAUGCUUAGAUAUCACGCAGAACCCCGAUUGCGAAGGCAGCCUGCCGAGCCAUGACUGACGCUGAUGCACGAAAGCGUGGGGAUCAAACAGGAUUAGAUACCCCAGUAGUC
rnacentral:rRNA from 1 species